rnacentral:lncRNA from 1 species
CCCGGGCCCCGCGGGCCUGCAGCGCCCCCGCACCCGGUUCCACGCGCCCAGGGCCGCCCCCGCGGAGAGAGGGGGCGCGAGGGGCGCGCCUCUCGCUCGGACACCCUCUCCCAGCUCGCGCCCCAGGUAACUUAAACCCAAUUAUAAAUGGCUUUGGCUAUAAAGUGUUCUUGAAUGAAAACGUUUAGGAAGUAGGCCUGGAUUCAGAUGCUUCAGAGGCUCAAAGGUUUUCUAAUUGUUUAUGGAGAAGAUUGAUCUUCACAAGCUAGUUUUUUCAUAGGCAAAAGCAAAAGUCUCUUCCUGUGUUAUUAAGUGAAAAUGGCUGAUUAUAAAAAGGCCCUGGGUCAGGAGGUUGCCGAUUCCAGGAAGAAUCAGACCUUAUCCCUGCCCUUGAGUCUCAAGAAGAGGAAAGGAAAACAAAUAAGCAUAGUACAGUGUGAAAAGUGGGACUGUGGUCAAAUUUCAGUCUGCAAACUCAGAAUGGAUGAAAUAUGAAAGACUGACAACAUCAAGUUGUCAAGUAGGACAGGAUGUGGAACCACUGGAACUCAUACGUGACUGAUGGGAAUGCAAAAUGAUACCGAUCCCUUGGAAAACUCCUUGGCAACUUUAAUAAACAUAAAUCUACCCUAUGAUCCAGAAAUUCCACUCUGAGUCACGUCUCCAAGAGCAAUGAAAAUAUAUACCCACAAAAGACUGCACAUAAAUCAGAACAGCAUUGUUGAUAAUAGCCCAAACUGGAAACAACCUAAAUAUUCACCAAUAGAAGCCUGAAUAAAUUCAUACUGUGGGAUACUCUACAGCAAUGAGGUAGAUGAACUAUUACUGCCUACAACAACAUGAAAGAAAGUAAAAGUCACUACUUUGAUAAUUAUAAACACAAAAAAGUAAACAUAUCAUUCUAUUCAUAUGAAGAGUUAUCUAAAUAAUUAGUAAAAUUGAUCUAUGAUUUUAGAAGUGGUACCUCUGGAGGAGAAGGAGGGGUACUGUUACUGACUGAGAAGGGAGUUCUGGAAAAAUUCUAUACUUUGAUCUUUGGGAUGGUUACACAGAUGUAUAGAC